GAUGAACGCUGGCGGCGUGCCUAAUACAUGCAAGUCGAGCGAACAGACGAGGAGCUUGCUCCUCUGACGUUAGCGGCGGACGGGUGAGUAACACGUGGAUAACCUACCUAUAAGACUGGGAUAACUUCGGGAAACCGGAGCUAAUACCGGAUAAUAUAUUGAACCGCAUGGUUCAAUAGUGAAAGACGGUUUUGCUGUCACUUAUAGAUGGAUCCGCGCCGCAUUAGCUAGUUGGUAAGGUAACGGCUUACCAAGGCAACGAUGCGUAGCCGACCUGAGAGGGUGAUCGGCCACACUGGAACUGAGCCACGGUCCAGGCUCCUACGGGAGGCAGCAGUAGGGAAUCUGCCGCAAUGGGCGAAAGCCUGACGGAGCAACGCCGCGUGAGAGAUAAAGGUCUUCGGAUCGUAAAACUCUGUUAUUAGGGAAGAACAAAUGUGUAAGUAACUAUGCACGGCUUGACGGUACCUAAUCAGAAAGCCACGGCUAACUACGUG
rnacentral:rRNA from 1 species